rnacentral:rRNA from 1 species
AACGAACGCUGGCGGCAUGCCUAACACAUGCAAGUCGAACGAGACCUUCGGGUCUAGUGGCGCACGGGUGCGUAACGCGUGGGAACCUGCCCUUAGGUUCGGAAUAACUCCCCGAAAGGGGUGCUAAUACCGGAUAAUGUCUUCGGACCAAAGAUUUAUCGCCUUUGGAUGGGCCCGCGUUGGAUUAGCUAGUUGGUAGGGUAAAAGCCUACCAAGGCGACGAUCCAUAGCUGGUCUGAGAGGAUGAUCAGCCACACUGGGACUGAGACACGGCCCAGACUCCUACGGGAGGCAGCAGUGGGGUAUAUUGGACAAUGGGCGAAAGCCUGAUCCAGCAAUGCCGCGUGAGUGAUGAAGGCCUUAGGGUUGUAAAGCUCUUUUACCCGGGAUGAUAAUGACAGUACCGGGAGAAUAAGCGCCGGCUAACUCCGUG